UACGUAGGGGGCAAGCGUUGUCCGGAAUCAUUGGGCGUAAAGAGCGUGUAGGCGGUUCGGUAAGUCGGCUGUGAAAGUCCAGGGCUCAACCCUGGGAUGCCGGUCGAUACUGCCGGACUAGAGUUCGGAAGAGGCGAGUGGAAUUCCCGGUGUAGCGGUGAAAUGCGCAGAUAUCGGGAGGAACACCGGUGGCGAAGGCGGAUCUCUGGGCCUUACCUGACGCUGAGGCGCGAAAGCUAGGGGAGCGAACAGG
rnacentral:rRNA from 1 species